rnacentral:rRNA from 1 species
UCUGGUGACCAUGGCACAGUGGUACCACCCGUUCCCAUCCCGAACACGGAAGUGAAACGCUGUUGCGCCGAUGAUAGUGGGGCGAUAGGCCCCGCGAAAGUAGGACGUCGCCAGAG